AACGAACGUUGGCGGCGUGGAUUAGGCAUGCAAGUCGAAUGAAUCCCAUCUGGGUAACUGGGUGGGGGAAAUGGCGAAAGGGGCAGUAAGGCAUGGGCAACCUACCCCGGGGACGGGGAUAGCUCUUCUAACGAGGAGGUAAUACCUGGCGAUUCGGCGAGGAGGCAUCUCUUUGCCGGGAAACGAGUUUCGCCUCGGGAGGGGCUCAUGUAGUAUUAGCUAGUUGGUAAGGUAACGGCUUACCAAGGCAAAGAUGCUUAGCGGGUGUGAGAGCACGACCCGCGCCACUGGCACUGAGACACUGGCCAGACUCCUACGGGAGGCUGCAGUCGAGGAUCUUCGGCAAU
rnacentral:rRNA from 1 species